UAGGGAAUCUUCCGCAAUGGGCGAAAGCCUGACGGAGCAACGCCGCGUGAGUGAUGAAAGUCUUCGGAUCGUAAAACUCUGUUAUUAGGGAAGAACAAAUGUGUAAGUAACUAUGCACGUCUUGACGGUACCUAAUCAGAAAGCCACGGCUAACUACGUGCCAGCAGCCGCGGUAAUACGUAGGUGGCAAGCGUUAUCCGGAAUUAUUGGGCGUAAAGCGCGCGUAGGCGGUUUUUUAAGUCUGAUGUGAAAGCCCACGGCUCAACCGUGGAGGGUCAUUGGAAACUGGAAAACUUGAGUGCAGAAGAGGAAAGUGGAAUUCCAUGUGUAGCGGUGAAAUGCGCAGAGAUAUGGAGGAACACCAGUGGCGAAGGCGACUUUCUGGUCUGUAACUGACGCUGAUGUGCGAAAGCGUGGGGAUCAAACAGG
rnacentral:rRNA from 1 species